GGAGACCAAAAUGUAAAAGAACGAAAAGUAAAAUGAUUAGGAGUCCUUAUGUAACGACUCGGUCCUAAAUAAAUUGGUAAAUAUUAAUUUAUUCAGAGAAAAGACCAUUUUUGCCCAUAGAAUAUUUUUAUUAGGUUUAAAGUUGACUUUUUGACCGAGAAUGAAAUUGAGAAUUUCUGCUGUACCGUUGCGUAGAGCUCAAUGCGAUGAGUCCGUUGACACGUAAUAGGCUCAAUUUGGAGUUGUAACAAGAAAGUUACGAUCAAAAGAAACUCAGUGGCACAAUCGUAAUUAUUUCGAAAUGGAAUUUUUAUAAAAACAGAAAAUUAUCUCUCUCUCUCUCUCUCUCUCUCUCUCUCUCUCUCUAUCUCUCUCUCCCUCCCGUGUGGGCCCUCCCCCUCCCCGUACACACAAUGGCGACGGUUUUACCGUCGCCACCGCUUGCUCCGGCCACUGCUUGGGGUGGCACCGGUCCCAAAAGGACCGCCAGCUCUUCCUCCUUCCAUCCCUCUCCAUCCCCGACACCGGC
rnacentral:lncRNA from 1 species